CCUACGGGAGGCUGCAGUGAGGAAUAUUGGUCAAUGGGCGCGAGUCUGAACCAGCCAAGUCGCGUGAGGGAAGACGGUCCUAUGGAUUGUAAACCUCUUUUGUCGGGGAGCAAAAGACGCCACGCGUGGCGUUCCGAGAGUACCCGAAGAAAAAGCAUCGGCGAACUCCGUGCCAGCAGCCGCGGUAAUACGGAGGAUGCGAGCGUUAUCCGGAUUUAUUGGGUUUAAAGGGUGCGCAGGCGGAAGAUCAAGUCAGCGGUAAAAUUGAGUGGCUCAACCUCUUCGAGCCGUUGAAACUGGUUUUCUUGAGUGAGCGAGAAGUAUGCGGAAGGCGUGGUGUAGCGGUGAAAUGCAUAGAUAUCACGCAGAACUCCGAUUGCGAAGGCAGCAUACCGGCGCUCAACUGACGCUCAUGCACGAAAGUGUGGGUAUCGAACAGGAUUAGAUACCCGGGUAGUC
rnacentral:rRNA from 1 species